rnacentral:tRNA from 1 species
GCGAGAGUGAUGGAAUUGGUAGACAUGCAAGACUUAGGAUCUUGUGCCUUCAUCGGUGUAGGGGUUCAAAUCCCCUCUCUCGCACCA